GUGGGGAAUUUUGGACAAUGGGCGCAAGCCUGAUCCAGCAAUGCCGCGUGCAGGAAGAAGGCCUUCGGGUUGUAAACUGCUUUUGUACGGAACGAAACGGUCCGGGUUAAUACCCUGGGCUAAUGACGGUACCGUAAGAAUAAGCACCGGCUAACUACGUGCCAGCAGCCGCGGUACUACGUAGGGUGCAAGCGUUAAUCGGAAUUACUGGGCGUAAAGCGUGCGCAGGCGGUUUUGUAAGACAGGCGUGAAAUCCCCGGGCUCAACCUGGGAAUUGCGCUUGUGACUGCAAGGCUGGAGUGCGGCAGAGGGGGAUGGAAUUCCGCGUGUAGCAGUGAAAUGCGUAGAUAUGCGGAGGAACACCGAUGGCGAAGGCAAUCCCCUGGGCCUGCACUGACGCUCAUGCACGAAAGCGUGGGGAGCAAACAGGAUUAGAUACCCUGGUAGUCC
rnacentral:rRNA from 1 species